rnacentral:snRNA from 1 species
GUGCUCGCUUCGGCAGCACAUAUACUAAAAUUGGAAUGGUACAGAGAUUAGCAUGGCCCCUGCACAAGGAUGACACACAAAUUUGUGACGCAUUCCAUAUUUUU